rnacentral:rRNA from 1 species
GAUGAACGCUGGCGGCGUGCUUAACACAUGCAAGUCGAACGAUUAACCCGCCCUCGGGCGGUUAUAGAGUGGCGAACGGGUGAGUAACACGUGACCAACCUGCCCCUUGCUCCGGGACAACCCAGGGAAACCUCGGCUAAUACCGGAUACUCCGCGCAGCCCGCAUGGGAGGCGCGGGAAAGCCCAGACGGCAAGGGAUGGGGUCGCGGCCCAUUAGGUAGACGGCGGGGUAACGGCCCACCGUGCCCGCGAUGGGUAGCCGGGUUGAGAGACCGAUUGGCCACAUUGGGACUGAGAUACGGCCCAGACUCCUACGGGAGGCAGCAGUGGGGAAUUUUGCGCAAUGGGGGAAACCCUGACGCAGCAACGCCGCGUGCGGGACGAAGGCCUUCGGGUUGUAAACCGCUUCAGCAGGGAAUAUAGUGA